GCUGGGGGACACUCACCACAGUGCUCCUCCGGUGGCUCUGAACCGUGAAGUCCGGGCAGAAGAGCAGGUCAGCAAUGGCCAGGAGCAGGGACUCGGCCAGGGGCCUGGCAUGCUCAUCAUCCUCUUCUCCCUGCUGGGGACACAGCACCCACAGGCUGCCUCAGUGAUAGCUGGCCAGGAAGAGGUGGCCCAGGGCUUGGGGGUGGUGGAGGACAGGGGCUGAGCCCAGGCGGGCACCCAUGG
rnacentral:lncRNA from 1 species